UAGGGAAUCUUCGGCAAUGGGGGGAACCCUGACCGAGCAACGCCGCGUGAGUGAAGAAGGUUUUCGGAUCGUAAAGCUCUGUUGUUAAGGAAGAACGAGUGUGAGAAUGGAAAGUUCAUGCUGUGACGGUACUUAACCAGAAAGGGACGGCUAACUACGUGCCAGCAGCCGCGGUAAUACGUAGGUCCCGAGCGUUGUCCGGAUUUACUGGGCGUAAAGGGCGUGUAGGCGGCUAGAUAAGUGUGAUGUUUAAAUCCAAGGCUUAACCUUGGGGUUCAUUACAAACUGUUUAGCUUGAGUGCUGGAGAGGAUAGUGGAAUUCCUAGUGUAGCGGUAAAAUGCGUAGAUAUUAGGAGGAACACCGGUGGCGAAGGCGGCUAUCUGGACAGUAACUGACGCUGAGGCGCGAAAGCGUGGGGAGCAAACAGG
rnacentral:rRNA from 1 species